rnacentral:rRNA from 1 species
GACGAACGCUGGCGGCGUGCUUAACACAUGCAAGUCGAACGGAAAGGCCCUGCUUUUGUUGGGUGCUCGAGUGGCGAACGGGUGAGUAACACGUGAGUAACCUGCCCUUGACUUUGGGAUAACUUCAGGAAACUGGGGCUAAUACCGGAUAGGAGCUCCUGCUGCAUGGUGGGGGUUGGAAAGUUUCGGCGGUUGGGGAUGGACUCGCGGGUUAUCAGCUUGUUGGUGGGGUAGUGGCUUACCAAGGCUAUGACGGGUAGCCGGCCUGGGAGGGUGACCGGCCACAUGGGGACUGAGAUACGGACCAGAAGCCUACGGGCGGCAGCGGUGGGAAAUAUUGCACAACGGGCCGAAGUCUGAUGCAGCAACGCCCCGUGCGGGAUGACGGCCUUCGGGUUGUAAACCGCUUUCGCCUGUGACGAAGCGUGAGUGACGGUAAUGGGUAAAGAAGCACCGGCUAACUACGUG